GGUAUUCUCUCCAAUUAUGAAGGUUGAACUUAUACAUGAUGCAUAAUUACAUAUAUACAUAUAUAAUCCGGUUUCCCUAUAUCCAUCUAACUACCUAAUUAAACAACAAAGGGUUGGAUCAGUUGGGACCCCAACAACUCAAGUACAUGACUUUUCUCAAUGAUUCUUCUGAUUCUUCUUCUUCUUGGUUUGGGAGAGUGAUCGGAGAUUGGCUUUGGCGUGGUGGUGGAUGGCUCUGAUGGUGUAGUUCCACCGUGCAAACCCUUGGUCUUCUUUGAGUGCCUCCACCAAACCAACAGUUCCAGCCACCAUCCAUGCUCUGGUAGUUGAGCUCAUCUAAGUGGGUUGUGAUGAUUUUGUUUGUAAUCAAAAGUAAGUGAUUGAUGAUGAAUCAAAGGACUUGAAUGUGGUAUAAAUAGAUGCAAUCUAACCGCACAUAAGCCCAGGUUUGAGGAAUAAAACAGUGGGAAUAAUAGCCUGUGGUUUUAUGGUACUUGAUUUCUCAGUAAUGCCCUUUGAACAUGAAAAAAUAGAAUAGUAAUUGUCUAGUUUCCAUGAAUCUGUUUUAGUUUGUCACUGUUCAAAAUUAUUUAUGAAUUCUCGUCUUCGAUU
rnacentral:lncRNA from 1 species